rnacentral:rRNA from 1 species
GACAGAGGCCUCGAGCGUUAGGCGGAAUCACUGGGCUUAAAGCGUGUGUAGGCGGAUCGUUAAGUGCCUUGUGAAAUCCCACGGCUUAACUGUGGAACGGCUGGGCAUACUGGCGGUCUUGAGCCAUCUAGGGGCGACUGGAACAAACGGUGGAGCGGUGAAAUGCGUAGAUAUCGUUUGGAACGCCAAUGGUGAAAACAGGUCGCUGGGGAUGAGCUGACGCUGAGGAGCGAAAGCGUGGGGAUCAAACAGG